rnacentral:tRNA from 1 species
GAAAACUUAGUUAAACCCCCCCCAUAACAUUAGUUUGUCAAACUAAAAUUAUACAGAUGAUAUAGUUUUCU